rnacentral:tRNA from 1 species
GCAGUAGUGGUUCACUGGUAGAAUUCUCCCAUUUUAUGUAGGAGACCUGGGUUCGAUUCCCAGCCAAUGCA